GCUAAGGUCCCUAAGCAAUCGCUUAGUGGAAAAGGAAGUGAUCGAGCGAUGACAGCCAGGAGGUGGGCUUGGAAGCAACCAUCCUUCAAAGAAAGCGUAAUAGCUCACUGUUCUAGCUCGACCUUCCAUAUAGGAACCUGGCAACAGUGGAAAAGAAAGC
rnacentral:ncRNA from 1 species